rnacentral:rRNA from 1 species
UACAGAGGUCCCAAGCGUUGUUCGGAUUCAUUGGCGUAAAGGGUGCGUAGGUGGCGCCAUAAGUCAGGUGUGAAAUUUCGGAGCUUAACUCCGAAACUGCAUUUGAUACUGUGGUGCUUGAGGACUGGAGAGGAGACUGGAAUUUACGGUGUAGCAGUGAAAUGCGUAGAGAUCGUAAGGAAGACCAGUGGCGAAGGCGGGUCUCGUGGACAGUUCCUGACACUGAGGCACGAAGGCCAGGGGAGCAAACGGG